UUUGGGCAAAUCUCCAAAAUAGCACAUUUCUAAGUUUAUAUCACAAAAAUAGCACUCCAAAACUAAAAUGACCAAAAUAGCAUCUUUCUAAGUUUAUCCUUUGAAAAUUUUAAUUUUUUCAUUUUUCAAAAUUUGAAAUCUUAUCCCCAAAACCUCAUUUCUCAACUCUAAACCCUAAACCUUAAACUCUAAACCCUAAACCCUAAACCCUAAACCCUAAACUCUAAACCCUAAACCCUAAACUCUAAACCCUAAACCCUAAACCCUAAACUCUAAACCCUAAACCCUAAACUCUAAACCCUAAACCCUAAACUCUAAACCCUAAACAC
rnacentral:lncRNA from 1 species